rnacentral:rRNA from 1 species
GAUGAACGCUGGCGGCGUGCCUAAUACAUGCAAGUCGAGCGAACAGACGAGGAGCUUGCUCCUCUGACGUUAGCGGCGGACGGGUGAGUAACACGUGGAUAACCUACCUAUAAGACUGGGAUAACUUCGGGAAACCGGAGCUAAUACCGGAUAAUAUAUUGAACCGCAUGGUUCAAUAGUGAAAGACGGUUUUGCUGUCACUUAUAGAUGGAUCCGCGCCGCAUUAGCUAGUUGGUAAGGUAACGGCUUACCAAGGCAACGAUGCGUAGCCGACCUGAGAGGGUGAUCGGCCACACUGGAACUGAGACACGGUCCCGACUCCUACGGGAGGCAGCAGUAGGGAAUCUUCCGCGAUGGGCGAAAGCCUGACGGAGCACCGCCGCGUGAGUGAUGAAGGUCUUCGGAUCGUAAAACUCUGUUAUUAGGGAAGAACAAAUGUGUAAGUAACUAUGCACGUCUUGACGGUACCUAAUCAGAAAGCCACGGCUAACUACGUG